UAGAGUUUGAUCCUGGCUCAGGAUGAACGCUGGCGGCGUGCCUAACACAUGCAAGUCGAGCGAGAAGUUACUCAAUGAAUCUUCGGAAGAAUUGAGUAAUGGAAAGCGGCGGACGGGUGAGUAACGCGUGGGCAACCUGCCUUUCACAGAGGGAUAGCCAAAGGAAACUUUGAUUAAAACCUCAUAAAGCCGGAAUAGUGCAUAAUAUACCGGCCAAAGAUUUAUCGGUGAAAGAUGGGCCCGCGUCUGAUUAGCUAGUUGGUGGGGUAACGGCUCACCAAGGCAACGAUCAGUAGCCGACCUGAGAGGGUGAUCGGCCACAUUGGAACUGAGACACGGUCCAAACUCCUACGGGAGGCAGCAGUGGGGAAUAUUGCACAAUGGGCGCAAGCUUGAUGCAGCAACGCCGCGUGAACGAAGAAGGCCUUCGGGUCGUAAAGUUCUGUCCAUAGGGAAGAAACAAAUGACGGUACCUAUGGAGGAAGCCCCGGCUAAAUACGUGCCAGCAGCCGCGGUAAUACGUAUGGGGCAAGCGUUAUCCGGAAUUAUUGGGCGUAAAGAGUGCGUAGGUGGUGGCUUAAGCGCAGGGUUUAAGGCAAUGGCUUAACUAUUGUUCGCCUUGCGAACUGGGUCACUUGAGUACAGGAGAGGAAAGCGGAAUUCCUAGUGUAGCGGUGAAAUGCAUAGAUAUUAGGAGGAACACCGGUGGCGAAGGCGGCUUUCUGGACUGCAACUGACACUGAGGCACGAAAGCGUGGGUAGCAAACAGGAUUAGAUACCCUGGUAGUCCACGCCGUAAACGAUGAGCACUAGGUGUCGGCCAAUAAAGGUCGGUGCCGCAGUUAACGCAUUAAGUGCUCCGCCUGGGGAGUACGCACGCAAGUGUAAAACUCAAAGGAAUUGACGGGGACCCGCACAAGCAGCGGAGCAUGUGGUUUAAUUCGAAGCAACGCGAAGAACCUUACCAGAGCUUGACAUCCCUCUGACAGAUCCUUAAUCGGAUUCUUCUUCGGACAGAGGAGACAGGUGGUGCAUGGUUGUCGUCAGCUCGUGUCGUGAGAUGUUGGGUUAAGUCCCGCAACGAGCGCAACCCUUAUCAUUAGUUGCCAUCAUUAAGUUGGGCACUCUAGUGAGACUGCCGGGGACAACUCGGAGGAAGGUGGGGAUGACGUCAAAUCAUCAUGCCCCUUAUGUUCUGGGCUACACACGUGCUACAAUGGUCGGUACAGAAAGCAGCGAAACCGUGAGGUGAAGCCAAUCUCCAAAACCGAUCUCAGUUCGGAUUGUAGGCUGCAACUCGCCUACAUGAAGUCGGAGUUGCUAGUAAUCGCAGAUCAGAAUGCUGCGGUGAAUGCGUUCCCGGGUCUUGUACACACCGCCCGUCACACCAUGGAAGUUGGGGGUGCCCGAAGUUGGACAAUAAAUCGUUUACCUAAGGCAAAACCAAUGACUGGGGUGAAGUCGUAACAAGGUAGCCGUA
rnacentral:rRNA from 1 species